UUUAACCUUUAUAAGGAAUUUACUAUUACCUGAACAGUAGAGAAGUUACAAAUUCCAAUAACCAGAAUAAGAACAAUCAUAUUGUCAAAAAAGAACUGGACAAUCAUAACAUGAUACCACCAAUUAUUCAAAUUCAAAUGCAGCGAGGUAACCGCUGCAACUCCAAGGCUGACCAGAAUAAGAACAAUCAUAUUGUCAAAAAAGAACUGGACAAUCAUAACAUGAUACCACCAAUUAUUCAAAUUCAAAUGCAGCGAGGUAACCGCUGCAACUCCAAGGCUGCCAAUCCAGCAGUUUUGGCUAAAGCAGGCACACUUGAACUCUUGAGUUCAGUAACUAUCACUUCAAUUCUUGAAAUCUCUGGUAUAGAUAUUGAUAAU
rnacentral:lncRNA from 1 species